UGCAUACUGGCUCUCACGGCUGUAAUAGCUGGGUAUUUGGUGGUAAAGGGUCGGAAAUGAAAGAGAAGGAGUCUGCUGAUUGCAUGUAUGGGUAGGCUGUUUAUACCUGUGGCUUAGAAGCAAGUACUCUUAUCAAAGACUUUGAAAGAAGUCAUAAUGACUGUUGGUGGGGUCACACAGAUGAUAUUAAGAAAGGGUAGGAAAAACCCACAGGAGACAUUACUAAUUUUUUUCUAGGCUAUAACUAAAAUGAUCAUAUAUAAUUUCCCCUUUAGAAUUCUACAGAAGAAAGAUCUCAUUUUCCCAGAGAUAAGUCAAACCAUUCUGACCUCUGGUCAUGGCUGCCAUCCAAGUAGUUUACAUAAAAAUCUAUCUGGGAGACUGGCAGUUACCAAAGGUGCAUAUUUCACAGGAUUAUCAGUGAUUAGCACUUCCUCCUAUCUCAGAGCAUUUAUGAGAGGCGGUGCUACAUGCGGGCAUAUGGAGGUCUGAGGACAACUUGCAGGAGUCUGUUCUUCCUUCCACCGUGUGGGUCCUGGAACCCACGUGGAUCAUCAGGCUUGGCGGUAAGCACUCCCCGAUGAGCUAUAUUCAUGGCUGUAUCAUCGGGGUCUCACUAUAUAGUCCUGGCUGUCCGAACUUGCUAAAACAGGUCAGGUGCCGCCAGAGCCACUCUAAAAUGGUUUGGCUUUUGUUGAGACAGGGUUUCUCCGUAUAACAGCUCUAGCUGUCCUGGAACUCCCUUAGUAGACCAGACUGGCCUCAAACUCACAGAGAUCUGACUGCCCCUGCCUCCUAAGUGCUGGGAUUAAAGGUGUGUGCCUUCGAGCCUGGCAUCUAAAAUGGCCGUUAGUAUACUAAAGUCCACCAGGGUAGUGGCAGAGAACCAUUGCUUUCAUAGUUGAGACACUAUACUUCCUGUUGGGACAUGACAACCUCUGUCUUUGACAACAUGAGGGGGUAUGGAAAACCUGAGAAAUAGAACCUUACAGCGGGAACUGAGUUUCCUCUGCCACGAUCUGGAAGGCAGCUGACAUCUUAGAAAGCACUGCUUAAUUCUACAGGUGUUUUCCUUUCAACUUCUCUUUUGGAAAUAGCGUUCUCUCCUUUUAAAAUAGUACAGCACAGGAAUGAAAAUGUCCGUCUUCCUACUGCGCCAAGAAGAUCCUAAAAGCUCUGAUUUGGUGAAGCCAUGAUGCGUCUUAAUGAGAAAAUGCUAUAGGGUGGUAAUCCUCAACCGUCCCAAGGCUAGGACCUUUUAACAUAACCCCUCACGUUGUGGUGACCCCCAUAACACAAAAUUAUUUCAUUGCUACCUCAUACAUGUAACUCUGCUACUGUAAUGAACCAUAACGUAAAUAUCUGGCAUGCAGGUUAUCUAAUAUGGGACCCACAAAGGGGUUGUGACUCACAGGUGGAGCACCAUUGCUCCUGGGAGCUUGACAAGAGACCUGCUGGGUGGCUAAUAGAGGAGAGACAAUGCCUUUUGUCUAGAGCUUUAAUGAACAGGUGAGAAUAAUCCUUUCACUAAGCCUCCAACUGGCACCCCAGACUACAGUGAAUGGGUUCACAACUAUUAUGUCUGGUGCCUCUAAAGAAACUGGUGCCCCUGGGUGGGAUGUCACCUCAGCUCACAUUUCAUAAUGAUUCCAGAGACAUCCUGAGAUCUUAUUUCAGGUUUCCUGGACUCUCACCUCUGAACUGAAAGUGGCCCGGAGUGAGUGAGGUGGCUGGUAUAUCCCUGUAGGGUGGUGGCAGUGCCCCUCGACACGGUGGUGAGGCAGGGACAGAGGAUAAGGGCAGGUCCCCACCUGUCCCCUCUAAUUCUCUUCCUGGCUCUGGAAUUCUAGGCCCCAGCGGAUUCUCCCUUCACACCACUGUAAUAAUCUCUCUGCCAUUUUACUUCAGCCCACAAAAGGGCUACUGGCCUAGCAGAGAGGGGUGGCACAGCAGUUUCUAAAACUUCCUCCAUCACCUGUCUGAAUACAGAACGAGGAACCAGGCCUCACCUUCUCCAAGUCUCCUCGACAUCCCUCCAGCCUGCCUCUUACCACAGCCUUCUCAGUUAAGUUACCAGAGAAAUUCUGCUGGGGGAAAAAAAUAAUCCUCAGGGUUGUGGAGGCUCCAGGACAAUAAAGGCCUAAAGACAGCCGGCCAGGAGGAGGACAAUACUCUUAUAAUGCAUUUUGACACGAUGCACACUUAAAUAAAAAAGUAAGUAAACAACACAGGGUUCCCCUGAGACCCCAAAAUAAAUCACUAAGUUAAACAUAUGAAAAACAGGCAUGUAGAAAGAGGAACCACGAGGAAAACCUCAAGCUUCCUUUUGCGGCACAAAAUUUGUUUACAGCAAUUACUGAGUAGAGCGAAUUCCAUCUGCCCAUUUUACUUCAGAUUUUGUUUUCUGUCUGGCUACAUGGAAUGCUAAGAUAGAAAUUUUUCUCCUGCUGCAAAUCAAACCGCAAUCCAACGAUUUAAUGAUGUAACUGUUGGGCUAAAAUCUGUCUCCCCAGCUAAACUGCAAGUUGAACGUGACCCUUGUCUAUUUUGCUGAUUGAGUCCACUGCAUUAACAUUGUUUUAAAUGUAUAAAUUAAGAUAAAACUGCUGGCUCUCGACAGUAAUCCCAACUUUUGAGAAGAGGAAGCAGGAUGAUUGGGAGUUCUAGGCCAGCCUUGGCUACAUAUUGAAUUACAGGCACCAGGCCUCAAAGAAAAUUAGACAAGAGGAGGGGAGACAGUAGCGGUGCCCGUCCGUCUUUGAUUUUCCUUCCUCAGAAAACCGCAAGAGAGGAAUACUCGCAACACGCCCUGUGCCCCACAGUUCUAAGCUCACUCCAGGGAGUUGGUCUCUCUCAGCUGACUUCCUCGUGAACAGUGACAAAGUCUGACUGUCUAAGGGAGGCUAAGCCCUACAGCUAUUUCGAUUAGAUCCGUUUUUUUCCAACUACACAAUCCUGUUAAGUGGCGUACAUUAGAGGGUUCACUCGCUUCCAAGUUAGGCUGCCCCCAGCUUGGGGACCUCAGCCAGGUCCCGUGAGUGACAGGAAGGACCCGAUUGUACGCAGGCUCAGGAGUGUGCGCGGGCCUAUUUGGCGGGCCAUUUGGUAUCCCUGGGCAGGACGCGACCCACCUUCCAACUCGGCAAAGCCAAGCACCACGUCUGAGGCUUUCCCCUGCCUGUCUUUGACCUGCAGAGCAGUGAUCGUGCAGCCCCAGGAGAUGAUGUCCACAUUCAGCUGGUCUGACCGAAGCUGGAACUUCUCCACUGCCCCUCCCCCCGAGGGCAGCUCUCCAAACACGGUUCUGGUCACCGAAACCAUUGGGAAAGUUCGGGGCGCGCAGCUUCUCCUUGCUGUUCAAACUCUAGCCUGGAUCACGUUUGGAAGGAUAAAAGUUCCCGGGGAGAAGGGGAGGGACUCGACUUAACUCCUCCCCUUUAUUGCCUGGAUCUAAACAGUUGACCGCUCCCGGGGUUGGGAAAAAUGCCCCGAGACCUUUUUAAAACUUUCCUUUACCCAGCGUAACUGAGAAGCAAACUUUCCAGUUAAGUUUGCAGGUCUCUUCCUUUGCUAACCCCGACUGCAGUGCAUGUCGGGAAUGGUAGUCUUUAAGAAACUUGCAAUUGCAUCUUGGGACAUGUAGUUUAAAAUGAAUCAACUUUAUUUUGCGCAGGAACCCUUAGGGGUCAAGAAAUCAAUCUCUCCUUUCCUCCUUACUCAAAAGGUUCUCUCUUUUCCCAAAUGGGCUCUGAGGAAACACUUCCGGUGAGCAGGCUUGGAGGUGUGCUCCUGUGUCUACUAAGCCAUGUUGCCCCACAUGUGGUCUUUCUAAACUCCAAUUUUCCUAUUUCUUUGCACACCUCCACAAGAUGCAUUGAGAGGAGCUGCUUGGCCAUUAAUGCUGGUUAUUAAUAUUGGGACAAUACGACAGAUCCCGAGGGAAUUCUGGUUAAGAUCAGGGUGUAACGUGCGUGGUACAGUGGUGGUUUAGAAAUGGGGAGAAAUUCGUCGCAGACUCUUCUGCUGACUGUCUAUCUGUUUUGUUUGUUUGUUUGUUUUUGUUUUGUUCUCAAAGGGUGAAGCUCUAGUGUGGGUUCUCUGACUGUCAGUCCGCAGUUUAGGCAAACUAGACGUAGGAGAUUAGGCCUUCCUACCUGUAAUCAGAGAGAGCCUCAGACUUGUGUAGAUGUCUCCCCCUUUGCUCCUGAAGUACAACGCUCCUUUAAGAAGGGAUUAGUGAAAAAGCAAAAGAGAAGGAUUAACGGUGGUUGUUUUAUAAAUGCACGUAUUAGAAAGAAGGAAUUAAAGGGUCAUAUAUUUAUUGCAGACCAGGUACCAGGUAAGUAACAGGUACAGUUUCUUUCUUGUUCUUUUGCAAGUUUAAGUGUCUAUAGUUUGGAGAAGGCUCUGAGGUCCUUAAACUAUUAUCUUGCUUUAGUAUGUCUUAUAAUUACUUGCCUGCAAUUUCUGACUCUGGGAGCCUAAGGCGAUAAUCAGAAAUCUUCAUUUUUUAGACUUAUCUAUUUUAAAAUAGUGUUUUGCCUGCAAGUAUGUAUGUGCACCACAUUCGUGCUGGGUGCCCAUAGAGAUCACAGGUGGGCACUGGGUGCCCCGGAACUGGAUUUAUAGAUGGUUGUGAGCUAAAAUAUGGGUGCUGGGAACCGAAUACUGGUCCUCUGCAAGAGUAAGAAAUACCCUUAGUUGAGGAGCCAUCUCUCUAGACCUGUACACAUUUUAAUAUUUUUACUAUGUCUGUAUGUGUAUGUGAAUGUGGAAUUGUGCCAUGCAUGCAGUGCCCAAGAAGACUGGAAAAGUAGCAUCGGAUCCCUUGGAACUGGAAUCAUAGGUCGUUGCGAGCCACUUGACAAGGGUGCUGUGAGAGACCAGAUCUUGGGUUCAGACUCCGGCUUAGAGAACCUGACCUAAGGUGGAACUCAAGUUCACUAACAAGCUGGCACCUAGCACCAGUUUCCAGGUUAUUCCCUAACAAAUCUGCACCUCCAGGUUACAACCCUGCCCCUGGCACGUCACUCCCCAACAACCACCAAUUAGGAAGAAAGUGGAAGUUACGUUUAUGGUUUGGGUCCUAGCACCAGCCAAUUAUGUUAAAGGCCAUAAUGUCCCCUCCCCCAAUCAGAUGUGUACCAAGCUAGACACCGCCUUCUUGCCUCUAUAAAUACCUGCUUAAAAUUAGACUCGGGGCUUCACCCUCCUGUCCCUCCUGUCCCACUGUGCCAGUGAUGAUGGUGUGGCCCGGGCUCGAGCUUGUAAAUAAAGACCCUAAUGCGACUGCAUCGGAAUCGACUCCUUGGUGGUCUUUGGGGUUUGAGAAUGCUGAACGGGCACAGCAGGCUGGGGAUCAAACCACCAUCACCACCACUCUCUCGCCGCUAUCCUCCCACCCUUGACCUCUCUAAGAGCAGUGUUAGCUCUUGGCGACUGAGCCAUCUCUCCAGCCCUCCUUCGCUUUUCCUCAUCUCUCAGGCCACUCUGAUGUCGGUAAUCUGGGACUAGAUUUAAAUAAACUGAAGGUUUGGUGGCUAAAUCUGAGGUUCACCUUUGAUGGCCUGGAAUUAGGAAGGUACUGUUAGGAGCUUCAGUAAGACCAUGAGAUAAAACGCCUCUGUCCUUCAUUGCUUAAUGCAGCUCUAGAUGGAUCCCAGCUCUGGGAAGAAGAGGUCUGGGAGCCUCAAGAAGUGUAUAACUCAAUCUAUCUGUAUUUCUGGUCUUGCCCUAGCCACGGUGAGUUGGAAACGCAGCAUGGAAACACAUCCGUGAUUAGGAAAUCAGGAGAACCGAGCUCAUGUUCCCGUAAUUAAACCCCAACAAAGAACUCUCUCACUUGUUUCUGACUGAAAUAUGAAGGAGUCUUAAGCAUUCAAGCUACAAAGCCUCAAUUAUCCCUCAGGAAAUUAGGGGAAAUCUGAUAGGAAAGAAAAAAGAGCUUGUGGCAGGCUUCAGUAAAGUACAACACAUAAUAUCAAAAGGACCCAAACAAGUCAAAUUAUAGGCUGUGCCCACCUCACACAGUAAACCAAGGGCACUCCUGUACCCUGCUCAUCCAUCAUACGUGCUUAUAGAUCCUGCAAGUCUCUUCAGCCCACUUACCUUGUGUGUCUGACUCAUACGCAGACCCUUUCAGCAACACUGUGUUAGCAGAGAUUCGUGAGAACCUUCUUCUGUGAGUGGGAAGACCACAUUUUUUUUUUUUUUAUUUCUCAGCCUCCAGUUCUCAAUGUUCUGCCAAGCUCAUGCUGCCACAGAGAGAAAGACACCUUGGGUGGCUAGCACCAAGUGUCACCAGAGAAAGCUCUCAUUGCUUAACUUGGUACGAAACAUACUGUGUUUCCCUAAGAUGUGAACGGCACAGGUCUUGAUUUUCUUUCCCCGUGGCUUUGAAGUAUUCACUGUGGUAAACAAGGCUAUCCUGUGUGAGCUGCAAACCUCGAUUUUUCACCCAAGCAGCCCAUUUUCUUAACUGUGCUACCCUACAUUCAAAGCCUCAGUUGACAGCAGUGUUCAUGAUCACCGACCAUAGGGAGGUCAACAUCAAAGCAGUGAUGUAGGAACGAACCACCGUUAAAUCCUACCAGCUAUUUAAUUUUAAUUUUUGGAUAAAUCUUGGGGGGGGGGGUUUAAGUUAAAUAGUAGAAAUUGUGGUGCUAUUUUUGUAAGAAGAGUUACUUGUCUUCUCCCUCAACCAGGGCAGAGGUGUGUAAUCCAACCAAUUCAAGCUUGUCCCCAACUAACUUACAAAUAAAUUGAGAAGGCUAGGCUGAUUCCAUGACAGGCUUCAAAUCAGCAGUUCAGGAGACUAGGCCUAAAAGCUGGGCAAGCCCAGGCAAGUCCGUUACUACAAACAAACAAACAAACAAACAAAUCAGGCUUUGGGCAACUAGUCAGAAUCUGCCCUGCCAUCAGGAGCUGCCCCACCACCUGAUCUGAGGAGGCAAGGACAAUGGGUCAGCAGCAGUUUCCAGACUUCCUCAGCUACUUCCUCAGCAACAGUUUCCAGACUUCCUCAGCAAUAGUUUCCAGAUUUCCCUAGCAACAGUUUCCAGAUUUCCCUAGCAACAGUUUCCAGACUUCCUCAGCAAUAGUUUCCAGAUUUCCCUAGCAACAGUUUCCAGAUUUCCCUAGCAACAGUUUCCAGACUUCCUCAGCAACAGUUUCCAGAUUUCCCUAGCAACAGUUUCCAGCCCUCACGCCCCAGUAAUGGCUCUGCAAUGUCCCUAGAGAUGGACUCAACAGAUUAAGAUAGGGGUCACCUACUCCCCUAAUGUGCUUCACCUCAGGCCUGUGAGCUCACUUCGGAGUCUCUCUAUUGUGAUUGAACCUCUCUGGAACCACGCCCUCAACAGAAAUGGCCGGAGGUGUGUCUCCUGGAACCACGCCCUCAACAGAAAUGGCCGGAGGUGUGUCUCCUGGAACCACGCCCUCAACAGAAAUGGCCGGAGGUGUGUCUCCUGGAACCACGCCCUCAACAGAAAUGGCCGGAGGUGUGUCUCCUGGAACCACGCCCUCAACAGAAAUGGCCGGAGGUGUGUCUCCUGGAACCACGCCCUCAACAGAAAUGGCCGGAGGUGUGUCUCCUGGAACCACGCCCUCAACAGAAAUGACCGGAGGUGUGUCUCCUGGAACCACGCCCUCAACAGAAAUGGCCGGAGGUGUGUCUCCUGGCUGAUCGUUAGUCCUGCCGGGUUGACGACGAAGUUCAGCCAUCUCAGUCACUUUCUGAGAACAUCAGUGUGCACGCCAAUCAGUUGAAACACACCAACGCUCCACUUCUUCAGGGUUUUGGCAACGUAUCUUUAAGUAUCAUUCAUUAAGUUAUUGGCCAUUGAGGACUGGACCCAACUUCCAGGCCCUUUCCUUUCCCCAGAGGUUGAGGAAUGGGGCUGUGGUACUUGGAAUAAAAAUGACCCCCAUAUUUGAAUGCUUGAUCAUGAA